rnacentral:rRNA from 1 species
GAGGGCAGCGAAGUCGCGAGGCCAAGCAAAUCCCUUAAAACUGUUCGUAGUCCGGAUUGGAGUCUGCAACUCGACUCCAUGAAGUCGGAAUCGCUAGUAAUCGCGAAUCAGAAUGUCGCGGUGAAUACGUUCCCGGGCCUUGUACACACCGCCCGUCACACCAUGGGAGUGGAUUGCACCAGAAGUAGUUAGUCUAACCUUCGGGAGGACGAUUACCACGGUGUGGUUCAUGACUGGGGUGAAGUCGUAACAAGGUAGCCGUAGGGGAACCUGCGGCUGGAUCACCUCCUUAACGACGAAGAC